ncrna:Sinorhizobium medicae WSM419 chrB RNA
CGCAUGGGGUUGCGAUCACCCCACGAGGCGACAGCCGAAGUAUCGCGUCCAUUUUAACCGCUCACACGGAGGACGCGUCACAUG